UUCAAGAAAGCUUGCUUGACAACCUGAAUUUAGAACCCAAUGAGAAAUUGAUCUCUCUUUCUCUGUCUCAAAGUGAUACACACUCAUCGAUUCACCAGCAGGAAGGCUUAACGAAAGAAAUAGGGAAAUGACAAAAGAGGCCAUAACAUCCGUACGAACACCAACAAUCUUAAAUCCACACAAAGAUGUUACCUUUGAGAUUGCCCAGCGAACCAACCAAGUGUUUCUAGUAGAUGAUGCCGUACCCUUUUUUCCCGUAAAAUAAGCAAAAAAAAAAAAAGAAUUGUGGCAUACUUCAUAUACACAUUCUCAUGAUCCAUCUAUCUGAUAGUGUAAUCAAUAACUUGGUAGAUAGCACAAAGACAUAGAAAACAAGUAAAACAAAUGCAACAUUCAUCACUUCCGUCAGAGAUAUUAUAUUCCGUUUUUAGUACUAAUCUGUGUUGGGCCAAUAAUAACCUAUGGAGUAAGUCAGUGUGCUGAGUUCCAGAAACAAAAUCAGCUUGUGUUGUUUUCAAACAAGCAGACAAGAAGUCGGUUUUUUGGAGGGCACACCCAUCUGAAGUUGAGAAGUGCUUUUUUUAACACAUACUGUGCUGCAUAUUCAUUGAUUCAGUGGGAGAAAGAAAACAGAAAAGGCCAAUAUAAACACACAACAUUGAGAUUCAUAUGCAAUAAAUCAGUUCAGAAAGCACGCACCUUUCUUUUCUCCACUUGGAUCUUCAGGUUUCUCCAUGGUUAUGGAGAAGCUGUAAAUCACAGAAGAGGAGGGGCACACAACCAGGCCAAGAGUUCCAAGCAAAACAGAGGGUUUCUUAAUUCUCGGAGAGUUCCUGAAAAUACAUAGCUACCAUAAAAAUUAUAUGGACAAGAACCUUUUCAGUUUUUCAAUGAAAUCAAAAAAUGAGAGUACUAACAGUACACCU
rnacentral:lncRNA from 1 species